rnacentral:sRNA from 1 species
CUAGUACAGUGCCUGAAAUGGAGGAGGUACCCAGUAAAUAAUGUUUUGGAUGAAUGAAUGAUUGAAGUUGCUCUACUGGAUUCUUAUAUUGUAUCUUGGGUAUGUGUUGUCUUCCUAACUAGACUUGAAGCUACAUUGUAAACUUGAGAGCAGCAACUCCAUUCCAUUUACUAGUAUAGGCGAGGUCCUAUACUAGGGUUGCCGUAGAUGUUUGUAUGUGGCUUCAGUGAGCGUGUGUCUUUGUGUACAUGGGGGUGAAGUGAAGGCGUGUUUGCGGCUGGCUUCCCAGCCGCCCAGCCUGACUUUCCACAGUCAGCAGGAUGGACCUGGAGAUGUCGGGGCUGAAGACCCUGGAGCAUGUGGCUGUGACAGUCUCCAUCACUCACCCACGGCGCGGCAGCUUGGAGCUGAAGCUGUUCUGCCCCAGCGGAAUGAUGUCCCUCAUCGGCGCCCCCCGCAGCAUGGACUCGGAUCCCAACGGCUUCAAUGACUGGACCUUCUCCACCGUGCGAUGCUGGGGGGAGAGAGCCCGAGGGACCUACAGGCUUGUCAUCAGGGAUGUCGGCUGUUAGAGAGUGCCAUGAGUGGA